rnacentral:lncRNA from 1 species
AGGUAGAAAGGAAAGGAUUUUAGAAGAAAAAGCAAGAAUUUUGGGAAGGUAAAUCAUCAGUUUGGAGAAGAGGGGUAGAAUCUAGGGCAAGCUCGAAUUGACCAAAUGUGAAAGAAAGAGAAGAAGAAGUUGGUUCCUAAACGGAUAAUUUGAAGAAUGAAAAUUGAUGGGAAGAGAGAUUUGAGAGAAGUCUUCGGUUUGAGAAAGAAGAGAGGGAGAGUUUUUGGUUCGGUGGG